rnacentral:lncRNA from 1 species
GUCUCCCUAAACUUACUUUUGCCCAUGGGAUUUUUAAAAGUCAUUUUUCAUAAAAGUAUUACCGAAAAAGAAAAUACUAUUUCUACGCAUAGAGAAGCAAGAGGUCUCAAAAUUGCCAAUCAAUCAGUGAAAGACGUCGUACCCUUUUACUCAAAAUCUUAUGACGCGACGUUAUUGUUAACUCACUGACGGCAAAUAUUCUUG